ensembl:lncRNA
ACCGGCCGAGGGCGCCCGCGCAGCCCCCUGGCUCCUCCCCCGGGCUGGCAGAGCGGGCCCCGCCCCCUGGGCCAUCCAAUCCGCUGUCGGCUGGGCCGCGUGACGUCAUCCGGCCCCGCCCCGCCCUGCACGUCCGGCGUCUGCGGAUCCCUGGCUUUUUUUUUCUUCAGGUACUGCACAAAAAUCCUCAUCAAAACUGAGUUAAAAACAGCAACUCUUUGCCCUCAUAUUUCUGUCAGCUGCUCACCUGGGAGUGACUCUGGUCUCGCCUGCAAGCACUCAUCUGUUCAAGUCAUCUGUCAUGGGACAGCUUACCUGAGGCCAAACGUCUAAGAAGAUAACUACAUCGAGUUGCAGAAAAGUGUGUGGACACAAGAUCAUGUGACUCACCAGAGAGCAUUACUACAGUGCUUUUCCACAGCUGAGAUUUCCCAUAGGACAAUAUUCUACGGGUCAGUUUUCUGGUUAUGCCCACAAAAUGAAGCUCAUGUGGUACUAUGUUUUGAACGAGGUCACUCUGUGCCUGACUUCAAACAAAACAAGACAGAAAAACAACUCCGAAUGGCAGUUUUUGAACAAUUCACUGGAAGUUGUGGAACAGAAGGUAGUGAAUUUGGAUUAAUCAGGGCCCUAGGCUGGGCUGUGACAUCUGUGACCUCCCCAGCUGGCUGAGCACAGCUUUCCAAGUGCUUUCUGUGGCCAAGGAAGAAGAAAACCCCGUGGGAUGUCAUCUAUGGCCACUGGAUGUGGGCCCUAACAGGAAGCUGGAAGCUCGGAACUGGGUCGCCACUCCUCUCCGUUAUUUCUGAGAACUCCUCGAACAAUCGCUGCAAACAGCUGUCUUGUCCAAUCAGGGCUCAUUCUCCUGGGAGGCCCCAAGCCUGGUGAAUUUCACAACUUUGCAGCUUCUGGGGAAAUGCAUAAUGAGUUUCCAAAUCCCUUUGCUUAGCAUUGAUAAGGGAUUUUGAAAGAGAAAAUAAAACACACGGCCAUUUUAUACCUUGGUAUUUAUACAUAAGAUAGGAAGUAGAAAUGGAAAGCAAGAAAACUGGACUUCAUGAUCAUAUGGACUUUUUUGGCAUUUGGUAGAAUCCGUAGUCCCCAUACAGAUCUUGAACAAAUAUUGUUAAUGAUGCACUUUAAAUUUUGUCAUGAAAAGCUAGGGCUGGCAGGAACUUAAAGGUCACCUAUUGCACACCUUCAUAUUAUGAAUCUGAGCCCAGAGAGAUGAUUGUCACUUCCUGAUGGUCAGUUCCCAUGGUGGAAAGAACAUGAGGCUUAGAGUGAGGAAACUUGAACGUGAGUCUUAACCCUCCACUUUCUGGCUGUGACCCAGACCAGCCAUUAACCCUGUAUUUCUGUAUGGGCAAACUGGAGUGAUGUAGGCAGCAGACAGAGUGUCUUUGUUGGGGAGGUACAGCAGGGUCCCAAGACAUUGGCUCUCACAGAGUCAGACUAGCAAAAUUCACAUAGAAAGUGGAGAAAAAGCCACCUUUAAAAAUAAAUCAUAAAAUUGCAAAUUUAUAAUGGGAGAGGUUUUGAAAUAGGCUUGUUUGCUUUGUGAUCAGAGAGUGCUACCUGC